AUUAAAAGAAUUGUACACUAGGCUCUUGAUCUUUUGCUUGCUUUAGAUAAUGAUGGUAUCUUUCUUUUGCCAACUGGAGGACGAUACCAAUCUGUUUGAUUACAAUGUCCUAGAGCGUGUCAAUGACUUUGUAGCUGCUGCAUUGUCGGAGAACCUCUUGGAACACAGCUCAGACACCUUCCAUAGUAACUUGAUUUCUCUUUACAAUUACCAUAGAGAAUUUUGUCCUUUUAGGCAUGCUAUGCAUCUAUUGUGCUUUGAGUUAGUUAUCUGUAAAUACCAUAGGAUAUUGUCAGAUCUAUAUGUGAAUAUCCAGCUUUCUCAUAUACUAGCUAGUGCUACAAUGAAGCAGGUUUUAAGCGUGUAUA